UUCCCAUGGCCUUUACUCCUUU
rnacentral:miRNA from 1 species